GUAAGUGUUUUAGGGCGUUCGGUGGAUGCCUUGGCACAUGGAGCCGAUGAAGGACGUGGUGGUCUGCGAUAAGCCUCGGGGAGUUGGCGUGCGAGCUGUGAUCCGAGGGUGUCCGAAUGGGGGAACCUGGCCAGAGUUAUGUUUGGUUACCUGCAUCUGAAUGUAUAGGGUGUAGGGGGUGACGUAGGGAAGUGAAACAUCUUAGUACCUACAGGAAAAGAUAUUCUGUGAGUAGUGGCGAGCGAAAGCGGAUUAGGUUAAACCGGGUGUGUGUGAUAGCUGUCGGGCGUUGCAUAUCCGGGGUUGUGGGAGCUGCUGAGGCCUGCCGAUGGGGGUCUGGAAAGUUAUAAAAUGAUGGCGUAGCUGAAUAGGUUGGGAAGCCUGACCGGAGUGGGUGAUAGUCCCGUAAGUGAAACGUUGUUGUCUUUUAGUGGUUUUUCCCGAGUAGCAUGGGACUCGUGUAAUCUUGUGUGAAUUUGCACCGGCCGUGGUGUAAACCUAAAUACUCUGUGUGACCGAUAGUGGAAUAGUACCGUGAGGGAAUGGUGAAAAGUACCCCGGGAGGGGAGUGAAAUAGUACCUGAAACCGGACGCUUACAAUCCGUCAGAGCCUCCCUGGUGGGGGUGAUGGCGUGCCUUUUGAAGAAUGAGCCUGAGAGUUAGGAUGUGUGGCGAGGUUAACCUGUGUGGGGGAGCCGUAGCGAAAGCGAGUUUUAAAUGGCGUUUUAGUUGCAUGUUCUAGACCCGAAGCGGGGUGAUCUACCCAUGGCCAGUGUGAAGCACGUGUAAGAGCGUGUGGAGGCGCGAACCCACUUCAGUUGAAAAUGGAGGGGAUGAGCUGUGGGUAGGGGUGAAAGGCUAAUCAGCUGUGGGUAGGGGUGAAAGGCUAAUCAAACUCCGUGAUAGCUGGUUCUCCCCGAAAUGCAUUUAGGUGCAGCGUAGUGUGUUGCUUGCUGGUGGUAGAGCGACUGGAUAGCUGAUGGCCCUGGUGGGUACUGAGGUUAGCCAAACUCCGAAUGCCGGUUAAGUUUAGCAUUGCAGUGAGACUGCGGGGGAUAAGCUCCGUUGUCGAGAGGGAAACAGCCCAGAUCAUCGGUUAAGGCCCCUAAGAGUGUGCUGAGUGGGAAAGGAUGUGGGGUUGCUGUGACAACCAGGAGGUUGGCUUAGAAGCAGCCAUCCUUGAAAGAGUGCGUAAUAGCUCACUGGUCUAGUGAUUCUGCGCCGACAAUGUAGCGGGGCUAAGUACACCGCCGAAACCGUGGCAAUAUUUUGUAUUGGGUAGGGGAGCGUCGUGCGUGAGGUGAAGCGAUGGUGUGAACUUGUUGUGGAUUGCGUGCGAGUGAGAAUUCAGGCAUGAGUAGCGAUUUGAUAGGUGAGAAUCCUAUCCGCCGUAUGACUAAGGGUUCCAGGGCCAGGUUGUUCCGCCCUGGGUUAGUCGGGUCCUAAGGCGAGGCCGUCAGGCGUAGUCGAUGGGUGACCAGUUGUUAUUCUGGUACCGGUGUAGAACCGUCCGUGCUGAAGCGAGGGAUACUAACCAUCCCGGAUGCUGCUUGACACUUUCGGGUGUUGGGUGGUUGAUGGCGUGGGAACUGAUCUUGUGGUAGGCAAGCGUGUUAACAGGGGUGACGCAGUGAGGUAGCUUCCGCGUGGCUUAUGGCUUGCCGCGUUUAACAGUGUGGCCUGUUUCCUAGGUAAAUCCGGGAAAUGUUUAAGGUGAGGCUGGAUGAUGACCUUUUUUUAAGGGAAGUAGGGUGAUCCUGUACUGUCUAGAAAAGCCUCGACGUGAGGUUCGAGCCGCCCGUACCCGAAACCGACACAGGUAGUUGGGUAGAGUAUAUUAAGGCGUUCGAGUGAAUCGUGGUUAAGGAACUCGGCAAAAUGCCCCCGUAACUUUGGGAGAAGGGGGACCGGAACCUUGAGGCCUUUUUACAGGCUAGGGGUGAUGGUGGCAGAAACCAGGGAGAAGCGACUGUUUAUCAAAAACAUAGGUCUGUGCGAACACGUAAGUGGAUGUAUACGGACUGACGCCUGCCCGGUGCUGGAAGGUUAAGAGGACUGGUUAGUCAUCCUUGUGGUGGCGAAGCUGAGAAUUUAAGCCCCAGUAAACGGCGGUGGUAACUAUAACCAUCCUAAGGUAGCGAAAUUCCUUGUCGGGUAAGUUCCGACCUGCACGAAU
rnacentral:rRNA from 1 species